rnacentral:lncRNA from 1 species
GAGACUCGAAGAUACACAUGAUCACCAAGGUCAAACUGCAAGGGUGUUCUUCUCCUAUCGGAGUAACUCUUCUGUCGAGAUUGGGCGGCCUUGAGAUUUGCUUGAAUUACCUUCACUUGUUCUUUGGCUUCUACCACAAGAUCAGGACCAUAGGUUUGUCUUUCUCCAACUUGUGACCAAUUCAAAGGUGUCCGACAUCUCCGGCCAUAUAAGGCUUCAAACGGUGCCAUCUUCAAGCUAGUCUGGUAGCUAUUGUUGUAGGAGAACUCUGC